rnacentral:rRNA from 1 species
CCAAUAGCGUAUAUUAAAGUUGUUGCAGUUAAAAAGCUCGUAGUUGAAUUUCGGGAUUGACACAUCGGUCGUGCCUUAAGGGGUAUGAACUGGUGUAGUCAAUUUCUCACCUUCUGGAGAACCACGAUGCCCUUAAUUGGGUGUCGCGGGGAACCAGGACCUUUACUUUGAAAAAAUUAGAGUGUUUAAAGCAGGCAUUU